GCAAGUCGAGCGGCAGCACAGAGAAACUUGUUUCUCGGGUGGCGAGCGGCCGUCAGGUGACUAAUGCCUGGGAAAUUGCCCUGAUGUGGGGCAUAACCAUUGGAAACGAUGGCUAAUACCGCAUUAUGCCUACGGGCCAAAGAGGGGGACCUUCGGGCCUCUCGCGUCAGGAUAUGCCCAGGUGGGAUUAGCUAGUUGGUGAGGUAAGGGCUCACCAAGGCGACGAUCCCUAGCUGGUCUGAGAGGAUGAUCAGCCACACUGGAACUGAGACACGGUCCAGACUCCUACGGGAGGCAGCAGUGGGGAAUAUUGCACAAUGGGCGCAAGCCUGAUGCAGCCAUGCCGCGUGUGUGAAGAAGGCCUUCGGGUUGUAAAGCACUUUCAGUAGGGAGGAAGGUGGUAGUGUUAAUAGCGCUAUCAUUUGACGUUACCUACAGAAGAAGCACCGGCUAACUCCGUGCCAGCAGCCGCGGUAAUACGGAGGGUGCGAGCGUUAAUCGGAAUUACUGGGCGUAAAGUGCAUGCAGGUGGU
rnacentral:rRNA from 1 species